rnacentral:rRNA from 1 species
AGAGUUUGAUCCUGGCUCAGAACGAACGCUGGCGGCGUGCCUAACACAUGCAAGUCUAACGGGAAAGUCCUCUUCGGGGGGCGAGUACAGUGGCGAACGGGUGAGUAACACGUGGGCAAACCUGCCCUUGGGAUCGGGAUAACCUCGCGAAAGUGGGGCUAAUACCGGAUAAGACCACACGGUUCUCGGACCGAGUGGGAAAAGAUGGCCUCUUCUUGAAAGCUAUCACCUGAGGAUGGGCCCGCGGCCUAUUAGCUUGUUGGUGAGGUAACGGCUCACCAAGGCGACGAUGGGUAUCCGGCCUGAGAGGGUGAACGGACACACUGGCACUGAGACACGGGCCAGACUCCUACGGGAGGCAGCAGUGGGGAAUUUUGCGCAAUGGGGGAAACCCUGACGCAGCAACGCCGCGUGAGUGAUGAAGGCCUUCGGGUUGUAAAGCUCUUUUAGUGGGGAAUAAACAUUCAGGGGCGAAUAGUCCCUGGACUUGAAGGUACCCACAAGAAAGAAGUUCCGGCAAACUACGUGCCAGCAGCCGCGGUAAUACGUAGGGAGCAAGCGUUGUUCGGAAUCAUUGGGCGUAAAGCGCGUGUAGGCGGUUUGGCAAGUCCGUUGUGAAAGCCCACAGCUNUAACUGUGGAACUGCGACGGAAACUGCUUUACUAGAGUGCGGGAGAGGAGAGUGGAAUUCCCAGUGUAGAGGUGAAAUUCGUAGAUACUGGGAGGAACACCGGUGGCGAAGGCGGCUCUCUGGACCGCUACUGACGCUGAGACGCGAAAGCUAGGGGAGCAAACGGGAUUAGAUACCCCGGUAGUCCUAGCUGUAAACGAUGGGCACUAGGUGUUGGAGGUAUUGACCCCUUCAGUGCCGCAGCUAACGCAUUAAGUGCCCCGCCUGGGGAGUACGGUCGCAAGACUAGAAACUCCAAAGAAUUGACGGGGGCCCGCACCAACGGUUGAAGCAGUGGUUAAAUUCGACGCAACGCCGAAGAACCCUUACCUGGGUUUGACAUCCCGCGACCGCAGCAGAGAUGUUGCUUUCCUUCGGGACGCGGAGACAGGUGCUGCAUGGCUGUCGUCAGCUCGUGUCGUGAGAUGUUGGGUUAAGUCCCGCAACGAGCGCAACCCAUGCCCUUAGUUGCCAGCGAGUAAUGUCGGGGACUCUAAGGGAACUGCCGGUGACAAACCGGAGGAAGGUGUGGAUGACGUCAAGUCCUCAUGGCCUUUAUGCCCAGGGCUACACACGUGCUACAAUGGCCGGUACAAAGGGUCGCAAUCCCGCGAGGGGGAGCCAAUCCCAAAAAGCCGGUCUCAGUUCGGAUUGCAGGCUGCAACUCGCCUGCAUGAAGGUGGAAUCGCUAGUAAUCCCGGAUCAGCAUGCCGGGGUGAAUACGUUCCCGGGCCUUGUACACACCGCCCGUCACACCACGAAAGUCGGUUGUACCAGAAGUCGCUGGGCCAACCCGCAAGGGAGGCAGGCGCCGAAGGUAUGGCAUGGUGAUUGGGGUGAAGUCGUAACAAGGUAACC